rnacentral:misc_RNA from 1 species
ACAGAUAACAAGAUGUGUAACAGAUAUAGAUAAACAUUUGAAAAUGACCGCUGGUUUGAUCAUUUGGACAAUUUGUACAGGUAAAUAAAAAGAUUGCAAGCAAAAACACCAACUACAGAACAGGACCCUUUGCAGGUAACCUGGUUACAAGAAAACAAGAAAGCUAAGAACUACCUUGACUACCUCUCAUGUAUCUAGGAGAGCUUUCAGCUAUCCUCCUAAACUUUGAGAUGCUUUGAUUCCUAUAAGUGUCUAAUGUCUUACUAAUCUAGAUACAGAAGCUUUGCAACAUCCUUUUUGUAGCAACUUCUCGCCUAACCGAGCCCCAGAUGAUAGCAGCUCGUAGCUUGCACCACCCUGCUUUGGAUUUUUCAAGACAAAAACUUGGGUGAGAAGAGAUGAUACCUAGUUCUCCUUCAUUAUCUGAACUGA